ensembl:lncRNA
UUCCUUCAGUAGCAUAUAGUUUUCCUUUAAAAAAACAAAACAAAAAAAACAACCCUUUUUUUGAUAUUAUUUUCUGCUUCUUCUUAAACUGUUACCUAACUUGUUUGGAAAGUGCCCCUGAGGGGCUGGUCCAGAAUUUGUAAGCAUGGAUGAUUCUUAAACAGGAUUAUGCAAAGGGAAAGACCUGAGACCAGUGUUAAGGUGGCAUUUCUCAGGAUCUCCUCUUUCCUUUAGCUGCCACAUAUUUCAUUGGUGCAAUAGGACUGUGUUGAUGGGAAGUUUCUUUAGAUUUUAGAUGAGUGACCAGUUUUUGUGCCAUAGAUAUUUACUGUUCAAGAGGAUAAAGGUGUUACAGUAUGAUAUAUAUAUACAGGAAAAAUACAUUUAAAAAAAUAGUAUAACAUGAAUAAUUGAGUGUUGAGAAAGUAAUCCAAACAAACUAUCCAAACAUUGGGCCUCAUUUAUCAAGCCUGAUAUGAACAGGUUUUUUUUUUUUUUUUCCAGAAAUUGAUUACACAAAAUUGUGUUGGGAAGAAUGUUCGUAUCCUAGGAAAGCUCCUGAGUUUGUGUAAACUUACCAUAUGGAGACUAACUAAUGCAAACCUCCACUCAUUUACUCAUCAUUUCAUAUUAAUAACAUUAAUUAGAGAAAUAUUUCAUAUGGAAAAAUUAUAAAUAAAGAAGCAAGGCAGCACAAAAUCCAUAAAUUAAGACAAAUAAGACUAGUUAUUGCAUUUUUCAUUGUCAUGCCAAGCCAGUUUCUUUUCCCCUCGCUUACUUCAUACCUAACUGACCUUUUCUGUAAUUUGUCUUCAGAUCUGAACCUUUUCACAUGCUGCUGUGCUGCUAAAUAAUAUUUUUAUUGGUGUAUACAUUAGUCAAAAUAAUUACCCCUUCUGCUUCUGAGAAAUAGUUUUUAGCUGUCUGUGAGCUUUAUCUUUUAUGGGAUUUGUGGGCAUCACACACACACACAAAAAAGAUAAAUGAGGGCCCAAUGAGUGUACUGACACUUUGAUACUUCCCAGUCUUCACUUAUAUACUUAAAUACACUCACUGGCCACUUUAUCAGGAACAUCUAGACCUGUUCAUUCAUGCAAUUAUUCAGCCAGACAAUCAUGUGGCAGUAGCACAAUGUAUAACUCAUGCAGAUACAGAAUGUGGAAAAUAUGCGAUCUCAGUGACUGUGGCAUGGUUGUUAGUUCCAGAUGGUCUGGUCUGAGUAUUUCAGAAGCUGCUGAACUCAUGGAAUUUUCACAGAAAACUGUCUGUAGUGUUGUGGGAGAAAAAACUGGAAAAGACCAACCAAUGUAUUUUCCUUUCAGUCUUUAAAGGUUCUGUGUGUGCCAGUGUACCUUCAGAUUCUGGUUCUUAGCUGACUGGAGUGGAACCCGAUGUGGUCUUCUGCUGUUGUAGCCCAUCCACCUCAAGGUUCUGUGUAUUAUGUGUUCUGAAAUGCUUUUCAUUUCUCUCUGCUCACCAUCGUUGUAAAGAGUUUUUAUUUGAAUUAACAAAUCAAAAAAAGCCUUCCUGUCAGCUCGGACGAGUCUGGCCGUUCUCCUUUUACCUCUUUAUCAACAAGGCAUUUCCACCCACUCAGUGGAACUGGAUGCUCUGUAGACUACUGUGCAUGAAAAUCCCAGGAGAUCCGCAGCUUGUGAAAUAUCUGGCACCAACAAUUACGUGAAAAUUAACUGAAGGUCUUUAUCUGUAUCUACAUGAUUCUAUACAUUGCACUGCUGCCACGUAAUGGACUGAUUGUAUACUUGCAUGAAUGAUUGAAUGAUCAGGUGUUCCUAAUAAAGUAUUCCCGGGUAUAUAUAUAUAUAUAUAUAUAUAUAUAUAUAUAUAUAUAUAUAUAUAUAUAUAUAUAGUGUGUGUGUGUGUGUGAGCAAGCGUACUGGAUAUGAUGUUAUACCUAAUAUGCUCCUAGGCAGAUCAGACUUGCCCCAAAAUAUAAUCUAUACUAGAAGACUGUUAUGCCUGUGAGCUGGUUAUUAAUGUAGGUAUAAGAGGAUUCUCAGGUAUAUAAAAAAAACAAAACCAUUUGGCACUUAACUCAUUCAUUCCCCAGCAUCAGAUAAUGCUUGCCCACACACACAUGCACACCUGUACAUGUAUGUGUGUUCACCGUUUGAUUGUGUAUCCAAUAAAUUGUCAUUAUCUGACUCUGAAGAAGGAAUUUUUGGAUGAGAAAGAUGAGCGUAAGCUCAUAAGCAGGCAUGUUGAUCAUGUGCAAUAUUUCUAAACAAAAGAAAAUUGAAAAUAUUAAAGACUUAACACAGUAUUUGUUGCCUUGUCUUUUAUCAGACAGUCAAAGUUUUAGCAGAAAGAAGAAGAAGCCGUUUACAUGCUGGGAAAAGAAAGGAGAAAAGAAACAUUUUCUAGCAUUUCUAGCACAUGUUGGUGUAACUUUGUGCUUUUCUUAAAUUCCUUUUAAU